ensembl:lncRNA
GCUGCGGGGCUGGAGAUGGGAGGUGCUGUAGCACCAGGAUUCCCCACGGGGAUGCUCAGCACCAGCCUGGCUGCAGCUGCAGGGCUGGGGCUGCGUCCCCCCUUGUAAUGACAGGAUAAGAAGGGACCGGGUCAGCCAAAGUGCCUGCGCUGGGCAGGGGCUGCCAGCCAAGGGCCGGGUGGGGAGCAGCUGAGCUGCAGCACCGCAACUGCAGCCCUGCAGUGAGAGCAGCGAGCGGGGAGCAGCGCUGAGCCCCAACCCCUGCAGCAGCGAGCGGCUCCUGGCUUAGCGAGGCAAAACGCACAGCUUGGCGAGGAGCAACGCGCACAGAGAGAGCUGGAAGGCAGCACGGGAAGCAGAGCAGGGCAGGGCAGAGCAGCGCUGGUGUCAGCGGCGGCACACAGCUCCCAGUGCCCGCAAGGUGAGUGGCAGCGCCGGGUCAGCCCUCCGGGCAGCUCCCACCUCGCUGUGCCACUGCCGGCACCGGCGAUUCCUUUGGCUUUUUUCUUGUUUCCCAUCGCUGCUUUAAAGAGCUCUGAAGCAAGGACAUGCAAGAAUAGAAAAGGCAACAAGGAUUUUUUUUUUCCUUUUUUCUUUUCUUUUUUUUUUUUUUUUGCAGCUUGCUACAGGGAAAGGGGUGAAGGAGAGGCAGGGACGGGAAAUCAAACUAUGCUGCAGGAUUUGGGGCUGUUCCAACCUAACAAAGCAGCCGGGUGACCCCGAGGAGCAGCAGAAAGCACCCGGAGCCCCUCCGCCACUGCUGCAGCACGCGCUUCCUGCAUCCAUCCAUCCCAAGGCAGCCCGCAGUAACGCAGCAGAAAGACAAGGGUCAUGCUGAGCCGCAUCCUCCUCGCACACAACAGCCGAGCGGCAGCACCGAACAUGCAUGGCUCAGCCGUGCCGCCACGCCACGCCGGAACGGAGAGCCUUAAAAUAAGAUCCCCAAGCCCACCCCCAACCCACCGCACCACCCCGUGCCAGUGCUGACCACUCCAUCUAGGAGCACUGUUUGCUGACACCCAACCCGACCCUCCCCUGGCACACGUGGGCCGUCACCUCUCAUCCCAGCGCUGCCACCUGGGAGCAGAGGCCGACCCCACCUCGCCACGACCUCCUUCCAGGAGCUGUAGCAGCGAUGAGGUCUCCCCUCAGCCCCUCUUCUCCACGCUGACCCAUCCCACAGCGCUGUGCUCCGACCCAUCACAGCUCCUGCCCAUCUCUGGACACACCUGGGGCCCCAAUGUGUUUCUGGCAGCGAGGGGCCCCAGCACCGAACACAGCACUGCAGGUGCACAGCAACGAUCACCUUCUGCUGACUGCACUACUUCUGACACAAGCCAGGAUGCCGCUGGCUCCUUGGCCACCCUGGCACACUGCUGGCUCAUGUUCAUGUGACGCUGCAGAUGGAACGGAGCCUAAUACCAACAAGCACACGUCAGCCCAUCAACAGGAUGUACAAUUAAUGAUUAUGGAUAAAUAAUCCAGCUGAUCACAAGUCGAUUCCAAACCCCUAUUUGGUUUGUUGGUUGGUUUUUCUAUGCGCGGCCACAAGCACCAACAGAUCCUUCUUUUCUGUAAUACACAAGCACAGAGCUAUCUGUGGCUGUUACAGGAGGAGGACCCCCAGCCCCACAGGCCAGCAGCCCCUCUGCAGCCUGGAGCCACAUGCUGAGCCCAGGGCUGCUCUGGGCAAUGCAGGACGCUG